CCCUUAGAUGUUCUGGGCCGCACGCGCGCUACACUGACGAAUGCAACGAGCUUAUAACCUUGGCCGAAAGGUCUGGGUAAUCUCCAAAUUUCGUCGUGAUGGGGAUAGAUUAUUGCAAUUAUUAAUCUUCAACCAGGAAUGCCUAGUAAGCGCAAGUCAUCAGCUUGCGUUGAUUACGUCCCUGCCCUUUGUACACACCGCCCGUCGCUCCUACCGAUUGAAUGGUCCGGUGAAGCGUUCGGACCGUGGCCUUUGGACGGUUCGCCGUCUGUUGGCUGCGGGAAGUUCGUUAAACCUUAUCAUUUAGAGGAAGGAGAAGUCGUAACA
rnacentral:rRNA from 1 species